GAAACCCUGUCUCAAAAACAAAACAAUACAAACAAACAAACAAACACAAAACAAAAAAGAUGUUGGUAUUUUGGGUAGGGAGCCCUCCUAUCUAUUCCAGCCUAUUCGCUGACCCUCAGUGAGCCCAGUCUAUCUCACAUGCCAGACAUAGUCACUGUGACUAGGUCUCCUCAUCCCAUUAUAAUUUCAAAGUCCAAAAGUCUUACCCAAAUCUCACUCAAAGUAAGUAUGAGGAAGACUGUUGUGUGGCACUAUUCCUGGGGAAACGUGAACAAACAUCUGCUCGCCCCAGACGGGGUACUGACACUAAGCCAAAGUAAGGAUCAAGUCCAACUUUCUGAAUCAGUGAGUUUUAUUGGGAUUUUUUUCAGGAAUGUGGGUGAAGGGUACCUGACAGGCAGAAGUGAAGUGACCCAAAGACAGUUGCAUCACCCAGAGCCCACCCAGCAUGAGUGACAGGUCACACAAGCUGGGGACCUGGAGCUCACUGCGCAGCCUGCAGGCAGCUCUACAUGCAGGUCAGCGAGUCUGAGCAUCGUCCAGGCAGCUUGGCUGGUCUUGACUUUUUCCUCACAGCCUUGCCAUCGGCUUCUUCCAGGCUGUUCAGCAGGAUUGAACUUGAGUUGAGCCUGGCAACAAGUGACUUUACCUGCUGAGCCAUCUCGUCAGCCUGGUAUACUUAAAUCUUUAAUAGAGACCACUGUUUCCCAUCGCAGAGAGGAAUUCUCCAGCCACGCUCUCUAACAGCGCAGUCUCCAGGCCCUGUCCGUCCGGUUUCACAGAGCAACUCUUCCAAGGAUGCUACUCGGUUCUUCACUCAUUUAUCCUGGAGAUAUGACUGCCUUUCUGCUGUAUGCUGACCGUGAAGAUACACAGUAACUGUCCAGUAUUUAUUAAAUGAAUAGGAAAAAAAUACCUCACUCUCCUCAUGCAGUAAUCUGAUAUUCAUGUAUCCUGACAGAAUGGUCCUCUCUGCAAUCCACAAAAUUAAAUGAACAAUGUGA